CUGCUUGGAACUUUUACGUCCUAAAAGAUCACUUCUAACGCCCUUGGAUUGCCCUUUUGUACUUGAAAACACUGUCAAAACCACAGCUUGCUUUGUAGUCUUCCCACGUCCCAAGCUGAGUAUCCCUUUCCUGAUUCACCAUCAAACCUUGCUCGCCACUUGGAGGUUGUUCGUUGAAGCAGCUGCACUGAAAAUACCACCAGUCAUGCUCCGCAUUAUCAAGGCAGUUUUCGUGGGAAGCCGUCGCGAAAGUGAUAAAGCUACGAAUCGAGGCGUUCAAAUCUGUGGAGGUUGACGACCAGGUGCACCCAGAGAAGGUAAAGGGAGAGACUAGAUAGAAGGUUGUACUUACGAUAGUCUGAUAGGGCGUGCAAGCUCCUGCAUCGCCAUCACCAUCUCGGUAAUCGGCCGAAGGAAUAUAUUGCUGCUCCGUCGAGCAAUGGCAUAUUCUGUCUUUAUAAUUGAAAAAGGCGUAUCGACUGAGGCCAUCUUCAAGGCAAUUGACUCACAAUGCAAUCUUCAUUGUUGUUUUCCAUUGAUAUAUCCAUAUACACAUAAGGGAGGGAAAUAGCGAAGUGCGCAAUGAGAGAUGAUACCGUCGUAGUCUGAACCUCAUAUGCUACAGUCACAGGAUUACGCUUAUGUGUCGUCGGCCAUCACACCUGACGAGCUGCUUUUACACAGUAUCAACCGAGCACGGACCCUUAAUACCAUCAUAUGGAAGGGGGUAAGUACGAUAAAAGGAUUUCGCAAGUUCCAGAGCCGUGAAGGACCGUGGACGAGCAUCAUACGUACGCAAAGUAGUGGUACCUCUUCUGUGUCCGUGCACCCAGCAUAAACCAUGCACGAUACAAGGAGGCGAUCGCGGGAGAUGAGAAGAACAGACAUUCAAGAACAGGAAGAAAUACAAUAAGACACAAGGAACACAAUAUAACAAAGAAAUAUCCGUCGGUUGAUGAUGGGACAUUCGUGUUGUGCCUGA
rnacentral:sRNA from 1 species